rnacentral:lncRNA from 1 species
AACACAUCCUGUUCCUUCAAGUGCAUCAGUUGCGUGGAAUAAGGAUCUCAUUUUCACACAGCUUCUAUGGCAGGGCAACCUGACGGACCCAAAUUCAAUGAAAAUUACAUAAAAUUGAAAGAGAGCAGAUGCCAUUGUAAGUGAUGACAGGGUAGCACUCUUACUAUCAUCUACUUUGCAUAAUCAAGUUAGCAACAAAGCCAGUUAGCACAUUUGACAGCUUUUCCCAGCAAGCUGUGACUGUAAGCUCUUUGGAAGGAGAUAGAACUUCUAUUUCUCAAUUGCCUCAGCCAUUCACACCGGUUUUAUGUUCCUUGACACAAUAUCAGAGUGAUAUUUUCUUGAGGAGGAGCAACUC